rnacentral:rRNA from 1 species
UACAGAGGUGGCAAGCGUUGUUCGGAAUUACUGGGCGUAAAGGGCGCGUAGGCGGCCUGUUAAGUCGAACGUGAAAUCCCCGGGCUCAACCCGGGAACUGCGUCCGAUACUGGCAGGCUUGAAUUCGGGAGAGGGAUGCGGAAUUCCAGGUGUAGCGGUGAAAUGCGUAGAUAUCUGGAGGAACACCGGUGGCGAAGGCGGCAUCCUGGACCGAGAUUGACGCUGAUGCGCGAAAGCCAGGGGAGCAAACGGG